AUUGGGGCGACUGUUCAGAGGAGCUUGUACUCAAGGCUCAUCAGGCUGGAGUCAAGGUUGUUCCCCAAGUUGGGAGUUUUGAAGAUGCCAAAAAGGCCAUCAGUGUUGGUGUUGAUGCAAUUAUUGUCCAAGGACGAGAAGCUGGAGGGCAUGUAAUUGGACAGGAAGGCUUAAUUUCAUUGUUGCCAAGGGUAGUUGAUCUUGUUGGCGAUCACGGUAUAUCUGUAAUUGCUGCUGGUGGUAUUGUUGAUGCGCGUGGCUAUGUUGCUGCUCUGGCCCUUGGUGCUCAAGGGGUCUGUCUAGGCACUAGGUUUGUUGCAACUGAGGAAAGCUAUGCUCAUCCAACAUACAAGAGGAAUUUGAUUGAGCUCAACAAAACUGAGUACACAAAUGUGUUUGGCCGGGCCAGGUGGCCUAAUGCACCGCAACGUGCUCUGGUAACACCUUUCUUCGAUGAAUGGAAAUCUCUUCCACCUCAUGAGAAUGAGGUCAAUCAACCUGUCAUUGGUCAUGCAACAAUAAAUGGCGAGGAAAAAGAGAUUCGCCGUUUUGGGGGCACCGUUCCGAAUAUGACAGCAACUGGUGACAUAGAAAGCAUGGCAAUGUAUGCUGGUCAAGGUGUUGGCCUUAUUAAUGAAAUUCUUCCUGCAAGUGAAGUGGUUAAAAGGCUAGUCGAAGUAGCUCAACAACUCAUCCAGAAAGAAUUCAGUGGCCUGUAGUUCAAGGAUGGCUGGCCUAACUGGAUUUGCAAUAAUCUGCAUAAUUUAUAUAUGUAUGACCAAAAGUUUGAGAUCCUGUCAUGUUGAAGAGAUCAUAGAAAA
rnacentral:misc_RNA from 1 species